ensembl:snRNA U6 U6 spliceosomal RNA
GUGGCCACUUUGCCAACACAUAUACUAAAAUUUGAACAAUAUAAAGAAGAUUAGUAUGGUCCCUGUGCAAGGAUGACAUGCAAACUUAUGAAGCAUUACACAUUUUU